rnacentral:rRNA from 1 species
AAUAGAUACCCAGGUAGUCCACGCCGUAAACGAUGAGUGCUAAGUGUUAGAGGGUUUACCGCCCUUUAGUGCUGCAGCUAACGCAUUAAGCACUCCGCCUGGGGAGUACGGCCGCAAGGCUGAAACUCAAAGGAAUUGACGGGGGCCCGCACAAGCGGUGGAGCAUGUGGUUUAAUUCGAAGCAACGCGAAGAACCUUACCAGGUCUUGACAUCCUCUGCCAACCCUAGAGAUAGGGCGUUCCCCUUCGGGGGACAGAGUGACAGGUGGUGCAUGGUUGUCGUCAGCUCGUGUCGUGAGAUGUUGGGUUAAGUCCCGCAACGAGCGCAACCCUUGAUCUUAGUUGCCAGCAUUCAGUUGGGCACUCUAAGGUGACUGCCGGUGACAAACCGGAGGAAGGUGGGGAUGACGUCAAAUCAUCAUGCCCCUUAUGACCUGGGCUACACACGUGCUACAAUGGAUGGUACAAAGAGUUGCGAACCCGCGAGGGUAAGCCAAUCUCAUAAAGCCAUUCUCAGUUCGGAUUGUAGG